rnacentral:rRNA from 1 species
CCCAAUCUCAUUCUAGUCUCCCCCUCUUUCGAGGCCAGAUCCGGCCCGCCCAGGCCCGAGUGCUGUAGCCGCCCGUAAGCCGCCACCACCAGCGCCCGACCCCGAGCUCCUCCUCCCGUGCGCCUCCUCCCCUGCCUCCCUAGCGCGUCGUCCGGCGACCGGCGCCGUCGUCGGCGACCACCCAGGUCACGCCGCCGCUCCCCUGCCUUCUCUCUUUCCCCCCUCUCUCUCUCUAAUCUCCUUUUAUCUCCUUCUCUCCAGGAGCUCAGCGCCAGGGCCAUGGAUGCCCAGUCCUCGAGCUCGAGGUUCGAACGCCGCCACGUGACCUCCACCGGCCAGAUCCGGCGCCUCCCUCCGGGAUCUGCGCGCCCUCCACCUCCUCUACCCGAUCCGGGGCCGCCCAACCCGCCAUGGCCUCCACCAUGGAGCUCCUGUAGCUCGUCCCCUGCCUCCUGUUCCUGUGCUCGAGGGAGACGCGCCUCCAGCGCAGUGAGCACAAGGCCCAGCCGUGCCAAGGCCUACCCCGACCACCUCUGCGUCCAGCCGGCAUACCCUACGUGAUGCUCGACCCGGUGCGCCAGCCGCCAACCGACGCCAGAUCGCAGCACCCUUCACCACCGUUCCACCUCAGCUCCUCCUCUCAUCCGUGCCCCCGAGCUCCUCGCUAUGCGCCGCCCUGGAGGGCACGCGCUCGCCAGCCGGUCGUCGUUGCACUCGCAGGCGACCUCGCCGUCCCCUCUGCACUGCCCUCCACCUCAACUGAUGAUUUAGCUGGUUAUAGCUUGUGGAUGUUCUCUGUUGUUUUUUGCACACAAGGUGUUUGUGUGUUUGUCCGAGCCAAUGUUCAUGAGCUUUAUCUUUGCUAUAAAUGACAUGGCUGAGAAAGUCCCUUCAAUGAAAGGAGGAGUAUAGUCUUGGCCAUGGCUGGGAAGGAAGGAGAACAUGUAAAUUGAGGAUUUUUCAGAGAGAUCGGGACUGCUUGAUUUAUCAGUGGACUGGUGUGCUGGUUGAUUAGGAUCUUUCAGAGAGAUCAUGGUUGCUUGAUUAAUCAGAGAGAAACUGGAUCAGUACUUGGGAGUUGGGACUGGUGUGCUACGGUUGCUUGAUUAAUCAGAGAGAAACUUAUCAUAAUUUAUGAUUUCCUUUUCUUGAUUUGGAGCAAGUGUCUUUGCUGGAGUCAGCGUCCUUGUGGUUGAUCUCAUAUACAUGAGGAUUACCCGAGUCAGCUCCUUGUGGUUGAUCUCAUAUACAUGAGGAUUAUCCAAUUAUUAAAGCACAUACAUUGGAGUUGAAAUAUAGGCGGGUUGUGUACACGGGGUACAUGUACGUGAUGUAAACAAAACCUAUAUAACUCAGGGAAUCGGUACUACAAGAGAGCUUCAAGCUGACGGCCAAUAGAAAUGGAAGACAUGACUUGAUGGAGAAAUCAGGGAACAUACAUUCUGCUCUCUUGUUCUUCAGCUUGGGGUGUCGGCAGCUACCUAUUACUACUAGGGAGUCUUAUUUCGGACGGAAAGAAAAUCCAAUAUUGGUUUUUAUCCAUUUGUAUGCCUGCGUUAGCCUUAUGAAGCACAAAGGAUGUCCCAGUGAUCAGUCACGGAUGAUACUUGGUGUAUUCUUACUAGGCUAAUGGGCAAAUACUCGAAUAACUGAAUCACCUGCAAUCUUUCUUUUAUUGUAACGGCGGUGUUAUAUCUGCAACAACAGUUUGUAAUUUUUUAUCUAUAAUUGUGAAUAUACAUCUUGGUAGCUAUAAUUGAUCAAUCACGGAUGAUACUUGGUGUUUCCUUAUACUAGGCUAAUGGGAAAAAUACUCGAAUAACUGAAUCACCUGUCAACAACAGUUUUUAAAAUUUUCUGUAUAAUUGUGAAUAUACAUCUUGGUAGCUAUAAAUUAUACCCUCUGUUUGGUGUUGGUAAGAACAU